GCCGACGGCACCCGGAGGCCUAGUAGGUACAGAGAAAGGGCGGGGCUAAAGCUGCCUGGACGACCAUUAGACCUCUUACGUCUGGGCGGCGCGGAGACUGCAUUUCCCAGAGGGCCUCGCGCGGCGCGGGCUUGGCGGGGGCGGGGAAAAGGAAGCGCCUCGGAGCCAGUGCGCAGGCGUGAGAGUCCCCGCUGGCUACUUAAGGGAGGC
ensembl:misc_RNA